rnacentral:rRNA from 1 species
UACGAGUGGCCCAAGCGUUAAUCGGAAUCACUGGGCUUAAAGCGUGCGCAGGCGGAUUUGAAGGCGUCUUGUGAAAUCCCACGGCUCAACCGUGGAAUCGCAGGGCGAACCACAAGUCUUGAGGCAGGUAGGGGGAGACGGAACUGUCGGUGGAGCGGUGAAAUGCGUAGAUAUCGACAGGAACGCCAGUGGCGAAGGCGGUCUCCUGGGCCUGUCCUGACGCUCAUGCACGAAAGCGUGGGGAGCAAACAGGAUUAGAAACCCCGGUAGUCC